GUUAUUGGCCUGAGAGUUAGGUCCAUGGCUGAGGAAGAACAACCAAGUGAGCCUGCAACCCCAGUUACAC